CUUUCUUAUUCAGUGUCGAGUUCUCUCGAACUCUCUUCAUCUCUCUCGGCUCUUCUCUCUCUCUCUGAUUCAAAAGACGAGACUGUGAAACUUAGGAAAGGAAAGGCUUUGUUAGGUGACAGUUAGAGAAUUACUUGGCCAAGUGGGAAGCGAGUUGAGCUAAGCAAGAGGAAGAUGGCCAGUCCUAGGUGCUCAGUUCGUUAGGCUGUCUACAUCCCCCUCUCUAUUUCGUUAGAUUACUUUACCAGCUCAGCUAGAGGACGCUUUGGAUAUAGUCAGUGGGGAGUAAGUAUGUUAGUAUGGACCGUUGUAAACAGUACCUUUGAGAUGUUUUAUAUAAUUCCAAGUCGGAAUUAUGGUUGAUGCUAUUUAUUAAGGGUUUGUAAUAAGUUUAUAACUUAUUAUUUUGGUUAGUAGUUGUAACUUGUUUCAUACCAUCACCUGUUAAAGAUCCUUGUGGUGUAAAGGGGUUGAGUAUUUAUAUUGCUAAA